GAAAAAAAAAAAAAACCAGGGGAAAGUGAUGAGCAGGGCACGGAGAGCAGGAAGAGAGGAUGGGAGAAGAGCCUAGGAAGAGGGAGAGAGGCACCAAAAGUUUAUGCAUGUAUUAAAAACACAUACACACACACCCACGACACACACACACGCGCACACACACACAUACACACAUCGAGAAGUGAAAUGCAGAGACGCAACAAUAGGAACCUGGCUAAGAUUUUUUUUUAAGAUUUUUUCUUUUCUUUUUUUCUUUCUCUUUUCUUUCUUCUUUUUUUCCCCCUUCUUUCUCUCUCUCGCUUUUUUUUUUAGCAAGUGCAGUAAUGUUUAAAUUAAAUAGGAAAAGAGCAUCUUCAAAGAAGGGGGGCUUUAAUGGGGUGGGACAGCUUAAAGCAAAGGUUUAAGUGAAAGACCAGAGACUUAGAAUAGAGACCACUUUAAAUUGCAAAUCUGAGAUUUUUUUAACUGAGGGAAAAUUACCUCCCCCCAAAUCAGAGGAUGAAGGAAGAAAAUAUGGAGAAAACUUUAACACAUACCAUAGACUAGACAAAAAAAAUAUGUUAAUUUUGUUCUUCUGAAAUAAGACGCAAUCAAUCUUCUCGGGUUCUUUAGGAGGAGAAGGGAAGAGAGGAGUGAUGAUUAGAAGAUAUAAAAGGGGCAAAGUGAAUCAGAACUGAAAGGGGGUAACUUUAGGAAAGACAAGAAAAGGAAAAGUUGCACUUGGAAACAAGUCCAACUUUCUACCUUUCUGGACUUAAAAGUAAAAUCAAUUUUCUCGUGUAAAACCUGGAAAACAGAUGUUUUCAAAACACAGGAAGCUAUUUUGCCAUCAAAAGCAGGGAUGUAAUAAAGGCAGUGAAAAAUAAUUUCAGACUAAAUUCAUAAGAAAGAAAGCCAAUAUAUUUAAAUAUCGAGGAAAGGUCUAGAGUGUAGAAAAGGGGGAAAUUACAUACCCCUUUCCUAAUGCCAAAAAAAAAAAAAUAAGUCUUACAGCUACCUCUAAGAGUUUGGAGCAGAGUCACGAAGCCAAAGGGCUUGAAAUGAGAGGAUGGAUUUCAGAUAAAGACUAGGAGCGGUACAUCCCACCAGAGCCCAAAGGAGAUCCUUGGAAUCAAAGACAGCAGCCAGGGACCCUGGUACUGUACCGAUUCCCAGUACAUCAAAGCCAUCACUUAGGCUGGUGCACGGUACCUCCAAAAAGCAAGCAAACAAACGCAGGAAGAACAAGAGUGUCUCUCUCUCUUUCUCUCUCUUUCUCCCCCCACCCCCAAUCCUAGACUCAGCGUCACUGCUACUGCAAUAGAUUUUUUUAAGUGACAAGUUGUAUUUAUGUAAGUUCUAAAUAUGAACUAGUACCAUUGAAAUUACAAUGUCUGGAAUAAAAUAAAAUGCAAUCUGCACUUUAAGUGAUCUGCAAACAAAGGUAAAAACAACAUUUAUGUUUUUGAAGGCAUUAUUAGUAAACCCUGUAAUGUCAGGUAGAGAGAGUGCGCUAAAACUUGUUUUUCUUGGGGGGGGGGGAAAUUUGCCCUAGCCUACCAAGUUAUUUAUUUGAGAAGGAAUUUGAGAAUUAAUCAGGAAAUCUGUUUGAUUAGAAAGUAAUUCUUCAUUUUGAGAGAUUUUCCAAUGCUCUUACGAGCAUGCAGCUUCUUAGGCAAGACUAGAGGGAGAAAACCGGUUGAGGAUUUUGCAGGGUUACCUCAUCUAAUCCUUCUGAAUUCACUCUGGGAAUAAUGCUAUUUUAUUUAGGGGGAAAAAAAGAAAGAAAAUACAUUUAGAAAAAUCGGGGGUUUCCUCUCUAUGAGCCAAAUCUGGGUUGCCAUUCAAACUUUUCCUGGCUGCUUCUCCAUGCGGGACAGCUGAUCAAUAAAGCCAAGUCCAGCUUGGCUUGCUACAGGUUUCACCAGUCAGUGCUUGCAAAACCUUUGUCAUUUUCUAAAAAUAAAAAAGCUAAAAGUUAUUGUAGAAGAAGGGGCUUUUUUUUGUCCCCUGCACAAUGUGUCUUUUGUGAGGUUAAUGCCAUUCUGGGCUCUCGAUAGCCCUGGACAAUGGGAACUCUCCAGGAGACUGCAGAGACUCUGGCUUUUUUCUUUCUAGCCCCCUUUUUUUUUUUUAAGGGAAGGAUGAAACAUUCCUACAGUCCAAACACAACCUCUACUUUGAUUAAAUAAAUAUUUAUCUUUAUUGUAACCAUUGUAUAUUUUUACCUUCAGUUUGUCCGGUUUCUGAUUAUUAUUUUAAAUUUUUCAUUGGCAACAGUUAAUCUUUUUUUUUUUUUCUUUCCCUUUCAGUCCAAAGUGCAGGUCAAUGUAAAAUGUAGCUGACUGAAGGAAGACUGGUAAAUUCUGAAUUUUCCAUCAGGUAAAUGGCCACAUCAGAGAAGCAAUAUUGGCAGCUCAGGACAGAAGCACCUUCCAGUCAGAGCACCAAGAAGGACUGAAAGCUGGAGAUGGAUGUAUCUUGCAGUGAUACACAAAAUACAUGGGGUCUUACUCUUGCCCAAGCUGGUCCUGAACUC